AACGCCACCACCCAACAGCGUGAGCUCGAUGCCCAUCUCGUCCUUUGGAUCUACGCCACCCUCGCCGACAACCUUGUCGAUCAUGUCGUCGGGGCCACCACCACCUAUGAUCUCUGGAAUCGCAUCCGGGAUUACUUCCUCGCAAACAGGGCGGCUCGGUACAUGAUGCUCAACACGCAGUACCGUAACCUCAAGCAGGGGGACCUCUCCGUUGCCGAGUACGCCCGCUGCAUGAAGUUGAUCACCGCCAGGCUCGCCGACAUCGACCACGCCGUCACCGAGGUGGAUCUCACCACCCAGUUUCUCCACGGCAUCGACAAACGACUCGACACCAUUCGCGUCGUCCUCGGGGAUACCGUUCCUCUGCCGCCGUUCGAAACGGUGUUCUCUCGUAUGAAGCUUGCCGAGGAGAACCUCGCCCAGCGCGAGGCUGCUGAGCCAGUCACCAUCCUCGCCGUCACCGGGAGCGGUGGCCCUGCCGGCCACCCUUCUCGUCCUGGCGGCUCCUCCGGCACUCGUGCAGAUCGCCCCGACCGGGGCGCUGACCGCGGCAAUGGCUCCCAGGCUGCUCGCGGAUCUGGCAACCGCAACGAGGGCGGUGACCGCGGCAAUGCGGCGGCCGCGGCCGUGGGCGCGGGCGCGGCCGGGGGCGUGGUGAUCAAGGCGGUCGUGGCCAUCUACCACCCAUAUCCUACAACCCAUACAUGGGCUUCUUCGCACCCUACGGCAUGGCAUUGCCGAACCCGCGCCCCGGCUGUGUUCCUCCCAACAGCGCCAGCGUGCUCGGCCCGCGUCCCGGGUCGCAUGCCCAGGCGUACCAGAUGCACCUCUCGGGCUACCCCUCCCCGCCACCACCCCAGCCUCCAUCCUGGGAUCACCUCGCCAUGCUCCAGGCCGCCUACAGCGCCCAAGGCUUCCCCAACAGCAACUCUGCUCCUCAUGAGUGGUACCUCGAUAGCGGCGCAUCUUCCCACGUCACCGGCAACCCUGGUAAUCUUGACCUCUCGAAUUCUUCUUUAA
rnacentral:rRNA from 1 species